rnacentral:rRNA from 1 species
AACGAACGCUGGCGGCAUGCCUAACACAUGCAAGUCGAGCGGUAGAGAGGUGCUUGCAUCUCUUGAGAGCGGCGGACGGGUGAGUAAUGCCUAGGAAUCUGCCUAGUGGUGGGGGAUAACGUUCGGAAACGGACGCUAAUACCGCAUACGUCCUACGGGAGAAAGCGGGGGAGUCUUCGGACCUCGCGCCAUUAGAUGAGCCUAGGUCGGAUUAGCUAGUUGGUGAGGUAAAGGCUCACCAAGCCGACGAUCUGUAGCUGGUCUGAGAGGACGACCAGCCACACUGGGACUGAGACACGGCCCAGACUCCUACGGGAGGCAGCAGUGGGGAAUUUUGGACAAUAGGGCGGCAAGCCUGAUCCAGCAAUGCCGCGUGCAGGAUGAAGGCCUC